rnacentral:rRNA from 1 species
CUACGGGUGGCACCAGUAAGGAAUAUUGCGCAAUGGAGGCAACUCUGACGCAGCCAUACCGCGUGCAGGAAGAAGGCCUUAUGGGUCGUAAACUGCUUUUAUUUAGGAAUAAACCCCCGAACGUGUUCGGGGCUGAAGGUACUAAACGAAUAAGCACCGGCUAACUCCGUGCCAGCAGCCGCGGUAAUACGGAGGGUGCAAGCGUUAUCCGGAUUUAUUGGGUUUAAAGGGUGCGCAGGCGGGCUAUUAAGUCAGUGGUGAAAUCCCGGGGCUCAACUCCGGAACUGCCAUUGAUACUGAUAGUCUUGAGUUUGGUUGAAGUGGGCGGAAUGUAGCAUGUAGCGGUGAGAUGCAUAGAUAUGCUACAGAACACCAAUCGCGAAGGCAGCUCACUAAGCCAAAACUGACGCUCAUGCACGAAAGCGUGGGGAUCAAACAGGAUUAGAUACCCCUGUAGUC